UCACACUUGGCUCUACGCAGACGUUCGGCUGCGGUAUUUGGAGCCUGCACUGGACUGAUGCAUUGUGGGGAGUUCACAUCCACAACUUCGUUACAGAAAGGGCUAUUUGCCUGUAAAGAGCCUUUGUGGUAAUUGGUAUACCUGAGGGAACUGCUUGCCAGUCCUCCGUCCAAGCGCAUGUUCCAGGAUUUGGACGGCAAACACGGUAAACAUGUAUGGAAAUGUCAUGGAAGGAAAGGCUUUACAAACCCAGAUGGUUGCUUUUGGGUGGGAUGAAAAAAGAUGGCGGAGGGCCAAAGUCUUGUCAAUCUGAGUACGAGGACCAGCUGGCUGCUGCUUUCGCUUUGGUUCCAUGGGGCGCUUUGUCGGAGCGCUCCCUCUUUCUCUCUUUCUGCAUCUUUGAUAGAGAUUAAAAAUUCUUCUCACUUCUCAUAUUUCACAGUCAUGGCGGCCAAUGGUGGGGGCAACAAGGAGUCACAAGGAUCGUCCCUGGUAUCUGGAUCAAAAGUGUGUCCAAUGAGAUUGAUGAGAUGUCAGUGCAUUUUUUUUAUUUUUAUUAUUUACAAUUUUUUCCCCUAUAUAUUUUAGUUUUAUUAUAUAUUAAAUUUAGAAUUUUUUU